AUUGAACGCUGGCGGCAUGCCUAACACAUGCAAGUCGAACGGUAACAGGCCCUUCGGGGCGCUGACGAGUGGCGGACGGGUGAGUAAUGCUUAGGAAUCUGCCUAGUAGUGGGGGAUAACCCGGGAAACUCGGGCUAAUACCGCAUACGUCCUACGGGAGAAAGCGGGGGACCGUUCGGGCCUCGCGCUAUUAGAUGAGCCUAAGUCCGAUUAGCUAGUUGGUAGGGUAACGGCCUACCAAGGCGACGANCGGUAGCUGGUCUGAGAGGACGACCAGCCACACUGGGACUGAGACACGGCCCAGACUCCUACGGGAGGCAGCAGUGGGGAAGUAUUGGACAAUGGGCGCAAGCCUGAUCCAGCGAUGCCGCGUGUG
rnacentral:rRNA from 1 species